UUUCCCAUUGCCUCUGGAAAACACCACAGUAUACCCGUAUUUGGGCCUCGAACCACCAGGCUAAAAAACAGCUUCUACCACCAGGGUGUGAAAUGCAUCUACUUUGCUAUCGUAAGAACUACGUCAGGGAUGCAGGACAGCGGACCCUGAGGACCGAAUUUGGCCCCCCCUGAACUACGUAAUACUGACCACACCCCCACCGCCCCCUUUACACAUACAGUAAGUGCAAUAUAGUUAAUAACGUGUGCAAUAUUGUCUGAUUAAAAAAAUAAUAAUCUGUGCAAGACCCAAAAGUAAAUAACCACACAACUACCAUAUGAUAAUAUGGUAUUAUGGACAUUCUCCCAAAUGUUAAUAACUAUGUUCGAACAGUAAGUGUGUCUUUUUACGAGUUGCAGGCUUUGAUUUUAUACUUAAAGACUGUAAAACGAAAUGCCGAACCGAUUUCACUCAUUUUUGUCACAAUGAAGUUCCAUUCUUUUCUAUACUGUUACGUCUGUCUCUUUGUUUGCUUUCAGACGCAGCUGGAGUGAAGCGUGUUUCCCUCCAGUAGGUGCACAUGUUCAGCAUUUACCAAUCAAGAAUGCCAUGUAUUUAACUCAUUAAUUACCAGCCAAUUCUGGACCAAGUCUGAAAAGACGAUUAAAAACGUCUUUGGGAGUGAAUGAGUUAAGGACUGCCAAACUGCCAAGUCUCUAGUCGGAUUAUUGACCUUGCUUGCUGGACUGCUUCAAGUGUUGUUUUCUAGACCUCUUGAUACUCUCCAUAGUUGGUCUAAUUAUUCAUAUAUUCUGGUUUGCAUUUUUAUUUUUUCUUAUUACUUUUUGAUCUUUGGCUUUGCGUUAUUGGCUUCUUGACAUGUCUUUUUUUUAUUAUUGGUGUUCCACAGUACCUGGCCUUGUCCAAGCACUUUUGUUUAUGCAUUGUUUCUCCUGUAAUUUGGUGGUGCACGUUUCUGUAAAUAAAUAUUUCUGUUAUCGCA